rnacentral:rRNA from 1 species
AAUGCUUGGGAAUCUGGCUUAUGGAGGGGGAUAACUGUGGGAAACUGCAGCUAAUACCGCGUAUUCUCUGAGGAGGAAAGGGUGGGACCUUAGGGCCACCUGCCAUAAGAUGAGCCCAAGUGGGAUUAGGUAGUUGGUGGGGUAAAGGCCUACCAAGCCUGCGAUCUCUAGCUGGUCUGAGAGGAUGACCAGCCACACUGGAACUGAGACACGGUCCAGACUCCUACGGGAGGCAGCAGUGGGGAAUAUUGCGCAAUGGGGGGAACCCUGACGCAGCCAUGCCGCGUGAAUGAAGAAGGCCUUCGGGUUGUAAAGUUCUUUCGGUAAUGAGGAAGGGAUGUUGUUAAAUAGAUAGCAUCAUUGACGUUAAUUACAGAAGAAGCACCGGCUAACUCCGUGCCAGCAGCCGCGGUAAUACGGAGGGUGCGAGCGUUAAUCGGAAUAACUGGGCGUAAAGGGCACGCAGGCGGACUUUUAAGUGAGAUGUGAAAUCCCCGAGCUUAACUUGGGAACUGCAUUUCAGACUGGGAG